AACGCACAUUGCGCCCAUCAGUAUUCUGUUGGGCAUGCCUGUUCGAGCGUCAUUUCAACCUUCAAGCCCUGGCUGCUUGGUGUUGGGGUGUCCUACGGCCUAGCCGUAGGCCCCGAAAACCAGUGGCGGUCUCGCUAGGACCCCGAGCGUAGUAGAUAUUUUUCUCGCUUAGGGGAGCCUGGUGGGUUUCUAGCCGUUAAACUCCCAAAUUUUACAAGGUUGACCUCGGAUCAGGUAGGAAUACCCGCUGAACUUAA
rnacentral:misc_RNA from 1 species